rnacentral:tRNA from 1 species
CGGGCUAUCGGAUAGUGGUAGUCUACAUGCAUGGGGUGCAUGCGGCGACAGUUCGAUUCUGUCUAGCCCGACAA